rnacentral:SRP_RNA from 1 species
CGGGUCCCCUCGCAUGCGGGUGCCACGAAUCUGGUCAGGUCGGGAACGAAGCAGCCAUAGUGGAUUUCCAGCAGUGCCGAGGACAAGGCUCGC